CAGUACGGACUUCGGUCUGGUGGCGAGCGGCGCACGGGUGCGUAACGCGUAUGCAACCUGCCUUAUGCAGGGGAAUAGCCAUGGAAACGUGGAUUAAUACCCCAUAACACUAUAGAUUCGCAUGGAUUUAUAAUUAAAACUCUGGUGGCAUAUGAUGGGCAUGCGUCUGAUUAGCUUGUUGGUGAGGUAACGGCUCACCAAGGCAACGAUCAGUAGGGGUUCUGAGAGGAUUAUCCCCCACACUGGUACUGAGAUACGGACCAGACUCCUACGGGAGGCAGCAGUGAGGAAUAUUGGUCAACGGGCGCGAGCCUGAACCAGCCAUCCCGCGUGCAGGAUGACGGCCCUAUGGGUUGUAAACUGCUUUUCUACGCCAAGAAAUGACCGUUCGUGAACGGUUUUGCCGGUAGCGUAGGAAUAAGCAUCGGCUAACUCCGUGCCAGCAGCCGCGGUAAUACGGAGGAUGCAAGCGUUAUCCGGAUUUAUUGGGUUUAAAGGGUGCGCAGGCGGGCUUGUAAGUCAGCGGUGAAAUACUGUCGCUUAACGAUAGGAUUGCCAUUGAUACUGCUUGUCUUGAGUUUGGUUGAGGUAUGCGGAAUGUGCAGUGUAGCGGUGAAAUGCAUAGAUAUUGCACAGAACACCAAUUGCGAAGGCAGCAUACUAAGCCAAAACUGACGCUGAGGCACGAAAGCGUGGGGAGCGAACAGGAUUAGAUACCCUGGUAGUCCACGCCGUAAACGAUGUUCACUCGCUGUUUGCGAUAUACAGUAAGCGGCUUAGCGAAAGCAUUAAGUGAACCACCUGGGGAGUACGAUCGCAAGGUUGAAACUCAAAGGAAUUGACGGGGGCCCGCACAAGCGGAGGAACAUGUGGUUUAAUUCGAUGAUACGCGAGGAACCUUACCUGGGCUUAAAUGUAGAGUGCAUGCGGUGGAAACACCCUUCCCUUCGGGGCUCUCUGCAAGGUGCUGCAUGGUUGUCGUCAGCUCGUGCCGUGAGGUGUCGGGUUAAGUCCCAUAACGAGCGCAACCCUUACCGUUAGUUGCCAACAGGUCAAGCUGGGGACUCUAGCGGGACUGCCACCGUAAGGUGAGAGGAAGGUGGGGAUGACGUCAAAUCAGCACGGCCCUUAUGUCCAGUACAAUGGCCGGCAGCUACUCCGCGAGGAGAUGCUAAUCUUGAAAGCCGGUCUCAGUUCGGAUUGGAGUCUGCAACCCGACUCCAUGAAGUUGGAUUCGCUAGUAAUCGCGCAUCAGCCAUGGCGCGGUGAAUACGUUCCCGGGCCUUGUACACACCGCCCGUCAAACCAUGGGAGCUGGGGGUGCCUGAAGUCUGUGACCGAAAGGAGCGGCCUAGGGUAAAACCGGUGACUGGGGUU
rnacentral:rRNA from 1 species